AGAGUUACUUUCCAGUACCACUUGUCACAUUGGUUGAAGAAGAAAUUAUUUUCCAUUUCAGCCAAGAAAGCACCAGAUCAAACUGAAUGCCUUAAAUUGACAAACACUUGCAGGUUUUAAAUUGACACAAAAAUGGUAACCAACAGACAUUAGAUAUU